UACGGGGGGAGCAAGCGUUGUUCGGAUUUACUGGGCGUAAAGGGCGCGUAGGCGGCCACCGCAAGUCAAUUGUGAAAUCUCCGGGCUCAACCCGGAAAGGUCAACUGAUACUGCGGGGCUAGAGUGCAGAAGGGGCAACUGGAAUUCUCGGUGUAGCGGUGAAAUGCGUAGAUAUCGAGAGGAACACCAAUGGCGAAGGCAGCUCGCUGGGACGGUACUGACGCUGAGACGCGAAAGCGUGGGGAGCAAACAGG
rnacentral:rRNA from 1 species